GGCGGCGCGCGGGCACGCGGCAGGGGACAGAGGAUGGAUGGGUGAACCCGGAUCCCGGGAUUCUCCCGCGCCCGCUGCCCCUCUGCGGAGCCUCCCCGGAGUCCCACGCCCCCACCCCGGCCACGGAGAUCACCACGUCAGGAGAUAUGUAUGCGUGUGCAUGUGUGUGCGCGCGUGUUCACGCGCGUGUGCGAGGAUGGUGAAAAAGAGCUGAAUUACAUAGGACAAUAAGUUUUUGAGAAGCCAACUGGGAAACAGAAGAAGGAAGAUGUCACCAGACAAAAGAAGUCUAAUGGGAGGAAUCCGUGGAAUUUUCUUUUGCAUGCUUGUGUAACACUCGUGAAGCAGCAAAAGAAGAUCCACGUUAUUCCAGAAAUUAAUGCCAGCGAAGUCAAUCGUGUACAUCAAGUUAGCACAAUUUCUUUCUGAUGGUCCUGAAAAUAUAGGGGGACUUGGAGUUAACACCUGUGAUGCAGAAACUAAUCUGCCAUUCAUUUGAUGUGCCAUGUUGGUCAAAUAUGUUAAGCCCACACUUCCUGACUUGUUCUUCAUGAAAUGGGAAUAAUGCAUUCAUUUAUUUAUUGAGCAUCUACUAUGUGCUAGGUACUCUUCUGGGAUUGGAGAAAUAGUAGCAAACAAACUAAAUUACCACCACCAUGGAGUUUACAUCCAAGUAGAGAAAGCAUACAAAAGCUACAUCUUGUCAUAUGGCAAAAGUGCUAUGGGGAAAAUUAAAGCAGAGUAAGCGGGGUGAGGGGGAGAGUAGGAGAUGGUGUACUAUUUUUUUUGAGUAGUCAAGGGAGAAUUCUGAAUAGGUAACAUUUGAGGGAAAACUUGAACAAAAUGAGGGAGGAAGCUAUGUAGAUAUCAGAAGAGAGUACGUGUCAAGAAAAAGAGAACACAUGUAAAAAAACCUGAAAAAUUAAUAAUUUCUUUUCGUCUACAUUAUAGGGUUGCUGUGAGGAUCAAAUGAAAUAAUAUAUGUGAUCUGUAUGUACGUACGUGUGUGUGUGUGUGUGUGUGUGUGUGUGUGUGUAUUUAGAGACAGGGUGUCACUCUGUUGCUCAGGCUGGAGUGCAGUAUUAUAAUCUUAACACACUGCAGCUCCAAACUUCUGGACUCAAACGAUCCUUCCACCUCAGCCCUCCUAGUAGCUGGGACUACAGGUAUGCACCACCAUACCCACUUAAUUUUUUAAUUGUUUAUAGAGACAGGGUCUUGCUAUAUUGCCCAGGCUGGUCUUGAACUCCUGGCUUCAAGCCAUCCUCCCACCUCCUCCUCCCAAAGUGCUGGGAUUAUAGGCAUGAGCCACCAUGCCUGGCCUGAUCUAUAUAUUUUUAAGCAUUGAAUUCAUUUUGCUGCUUUUGUGGUUACUAUUUUUAUAGCUCAUUGUUGCAAAGUGAACUCUUUUAUGUCUCAUUAAAAGAGAGAAAUUCUCUGACAGAGAACUUAAAGAAUGUGUACCAACUGGCUAUCAUCUUAAGGUUCAGUAGUGAAAAUACACUUUAUCUGUACUUUCAGAGCACUUAUAAAUUACUGGAAGAUGUGUGUGUAAAAUAGAGCACAGUAUAAGAGAAAAUAACACAAAGCAAGUGUCAAGUUGAUGCAGCAGUCUAGUGAAUCUUCUCUGAGAUUUGAGAAUUCAGUGAUUCUUAUGACAUAAGAGAUAGAUUUCUCUAUUUAGGAAUUCUUCUUACAUCAGAUUUUCCUCUCCCUGUCUCCUUCUCUUUCCUUUAUUUCUUGCUUUCCUGCCUUUUACAUGCACAUUUUGUGAUGGUUUAGAAGAAGAUCACAAACAGUAAAUGGUGGUUGAGAAAGAGGAACUUGUAACAUUGGCAUGAAUAUAGCUAAGAACACAUUUCUUAAUGUUAUAUUCAAACACUAUUAGGUAAUUACAUGACAAGUUAAGUGACAGGCAACUUUUAUAAUUUUCUCAGAUAAACAGGGAUGGGGAAGUCAUGGUUCUUUGCUUCUGUUCCUCUAAUAUUGGGGAACAGCUGACUUGAGUAUGGAAACAUUCUUGCCACCUAUUUGUAUUUGUUUUUUGGUUUGUUUUUGGUUUUGAGGCAAAGUCUCCCUCUAUCACCCAGGCUGGAGUGCAGUGGCACGAUCUCGGCUCACUGCAACCUCUGCCUCUGGGGUUCAAGAGAUUCUCCUGCCUGAGCCUCCUGAGUAGCUGGGAUUACAGGCGUGCACCACCACGCCUGGCAAAUCUUUGUAUUUUUAGUAGAGACAGGGUUUCCCUAUGUAGGCCAGGCUGGUCUUGAACUCCUGGCCUCAGGUAAUCUGCCUGCCUCAUUAUGGGAUUACAGGGAUGAGCCACCGUACCCGGGCUGUAUUUGUUUUAAUAUACAAGUGGAAUAAAUAUUCAAAAUCCUUUGUGAAGUAAGGCAGGGUGUAUAGAAACAUAUAAACAACACACUUUGGAAACAGGAAAACAGAACUGAAAGAAUGUUUAUAAAGGUGCACAAUGAAAGAGCAAUUCCACAGAGGGAUUGUUUAGAUUAGUGAAAUACUCAUGCCUGGGGUAAGUGACAUAAUGCAUGUUUGUGUAUAUGACUAUUAUGUAUUUAAAAUAUCAUUGAAAAUUAUAAAUAUAUUCCCCAUCCUUGACACUAACCCAUACCAAGAUCUGAAAAUCAGAACCUCUUUUGUAAUGAUUUGUAGACAGUAAAUUCUACAUUCUUUCAUUGAUUCAUUUAUUUGUUACCUUAAGUUCAAGGCUUGCAAUGCUUUCUGAGCAUCUGCUGUAUAACUUUGGGGUCAUGGUUUUAUAGUGCCUGGGAAAAGAAACAGGGCUAGAGAUAUAUAGAGCACUGGGGUUUUAAUUGCUUUAGUUGGCAAAAAGAAAAGGAUUUCUGUCUGAGUUCUCCUAGGUCUCUUUUCUCAAGUUUACACCAAGCGCUACAUGCACUGACCUCCCAUCCCCUAUAAAUAAUUCACAAGAGAUUCAUGAUUUUUAAACACUGGGAUGCUUAAGGCACAUCUGGGGUGCUUGCUACAAAUGCAGUGACCCUGAUUCAGUAUGUGUGGGGUGCUGCCCAGAGAAUCUGUAUUUUAAAUAAGGACCCAGAUGCUUCUGAUGCAGGUGGUCUGUGGACCACACUGGGAGAAACACUGUUAAGACAAAUUUACUCAAAGGUAAAGAAGUCUUUAGAGAAACUAAAUGUUGAAGUGAGUGGCAAAUGGUUGCAAGGUGGUUCUGCUUGAGCAGGAGACCUAGAAUCCUGUGAAGUUGGUGGAGGCAGAGGAAAGAUUUUAGUAAAGAAUUUUUAUAACAUUUUAAUAAAGAAUUAUGAGCUGAUUUAGUUAGAAGGAACUAUGGCGGGUAUUAGAGAAAAGAACAUUGGUUGAUAAAGUUAGACGGGCCUUGAAGGCAAGGGGACGAUUUCUCCCAGGUAGAUAUGGGGCCCAGAGGAGGGACAUUACUAAGAAAUGGUUCUGGUUAGUAUAGUGACACACCAAAGUACUCUAAAACUAAUUAAUAGUUGUUUACAGUUGUGCCCAUGGAUUAGGAAUGUGGAUUGAGCACAUGGGGGUUAGCUAGUCUCUGCUAUAGGAUAUUUGAGACCUCAAUUGAGAAGACUCAAAGGCUAGGAGUGACUCAAAGGAUGGGGUUUGGAACCAUCAGCAAGCACCUUCAUUGAUAUUCCUGACACCUGGGCUGCACUGGUUUGAAAAUCAGGACUGACGACUGCAGUGUCCACACAUUGGGCUUUCUAUGUGGUGUGGCUUCCUCAAAAUAUGGUGGCCUUGGGGCAGUUGACUUUUUACAUGGUGGCUCAAAGCUCUAAGAGCAUGAGUGUUCUGGUGAACAACAUGGAAACUGCAUUAUCAUAAGACUUAUGGUCUAGUCUCAGAAGUCACACAGCCUCACUUCUGCAAUACUGUAUUGAUUGAAGCAGUCGCAAGCCCACCUAGAUUCAAGGAGAGGGAAAUUAAACACUUCCUGAUGGGAUAGUGGCAAUGUCACAAAGAGAAGAGCACAUGGUAUGAGGAAUAUUGUUGUGCCAUCUUUGGGAAAUAAAAUUUUUAUAGAAUUUAUAAAUUUAUAUAAAUAUAAAAUUAUAUAAUUUUAUAGAAUUUAUAGAUUAUAGAAGGAAUCUGGAGAGUUGAGUGAUGGGAAGAAUGGGAAAAAAUGGAUCAAUCAAUUGUGGAAAGUAUAUUCAAUGCAAUACUAUACAGCAGUGAAAAUGAGUUAACUACCACUACAUACAUGAAUGUGGAUGAAGCUUAGAAGAAAUACUGUGUGUUGUUAAAAGUUUCAAAAACGUUUCAUGCUACCAGUUUUAUAAACUUCAAAUUUGCUAAAAUAAGCAACACAAUUUUAUCAUUUAGGAAUACCUAUAUAUGAGGGGUUUUCAAAAAGUUUUUGGGGCUGGUUUACUCUUUCCAACUACACUUUAAGAUAAUCCCAGGGAGGAUGCUCCUUUAAACAGUUUUUAGCCUGACAUCUCUCUCUUAGGCUCCAGGAUGAUAUUAGACUCUUCUGUUCUGCUCCAUUAGGUCAACCCAACAUAUCUAAAAACCAAAUUCAAGAAAUUCCUUCAUUCUUCCAGUUCCUCAGGUUAGGCCUCUUCCCUCUUCAUAAUUUCAGUUCCUCAGGUUAGGCCUCUUCCCUCUUCAUAAUUUCUCCUGAAUGUCUGCAUCUAUACUUUCUGUUUUAUUCUCAUUGUCAUAGUCCAGAACAGAUCCAGGUUUAGAUCCAGGUUUAGACUCUCUUUCAGACAGUGGCACCAUGCUUGGCCAGCGGUCAUCUUUUGGUGUAUCAAGUUGGUGAAUGCUCAUCUGCUUGCUUUCAAGCUUCUAAGAUUUUGUUGACAUAUCUAAUGUGCUGUUGUCUGUGCUCCUAUUCUUUAAGCCUUAGGAGCUUUCUCCUCUGUGACCCUGUUAAUGUAAUUUUGUAGAGUUUUCUAAGCAGGCAGAGGUAAAUAUAUGCAUUCAACUUGCCAUCUUUAACAAAAAGUACCCAUAUACCCAUAUACUGUUUGAAAUAUUUUACAAUAUUAUUAAUGACUGCAUAGUAACUCCUGCUCUUCUUCUUCUUAUAAUUUUUAUUUUUAUCUUUUAGUUCCAUUUUCCACAAGCUUUUUGAAGUCUCCUUGUAUGUGGUAUGACCCUUAAGAAAAUGCAAGCCGAUUAAAUAAAGAAAACAAAGUUUGGGAUAUUGGUGAUCUCUGGGGGAUACGGAUGGGAA
rnacentral:lncRNA from 1 species